rnacentral:rRNA from 1 species
GUGAGUAACACGUAUCCAACCUGCCGAUAACUUUGGGAUAGCCUUUCGAAAGAAAGAUUAAUACCCGAUAGCAUAGUAUUUCCGCAUGGUUUCACUAUUAAAGAAUUUCGGUUAUCGAUGGGGAUGCGUUCCAUUAGAUAGUUGGCGGGGUAACGGCCCACCAAGUCAACGAUGGAUAGGGGUUCUGAGAGGAAGGUCCCCCACAUUGGAACUGAGACACGGUCCAAACUCCUACGGGAGGCAGCAGUGAGGAAUAUUGGUCAAUGGACGAGAGUCUGAACCAGCCAAGUAGCGUGAAGGAUGACUGCCCUAUGGGUUGUAAACUUCUUUUAUACGGGAAUAAAGUGGAGUAUGCAUACUCCUUUGUAUGUACCGUAUGAAUAAGGAUCGGCUAACUCCGUGCCAGCAGCCGCGGUAAUACGGAGGAUCCGAGCGUUAUCCGGAUUUAUUGGGUUUAAAGGGAGCGUAGGCGGGUGCUUAAGUCAGUUGUGAAAGUUUGCGGCUCAACCGUAAAAUUGCAGUUGAUACUGGGCGCCUUGAGUGCAGCAUAGGUAGGCGGAAUUCGUGGUGUAGCGGUGAAAUGCUUAGAUAUCACGAAGAACUCCGAUUGCGAAGGCAGCUUACUGGACUGUAACUGACGCUGAUGCUCGAAAGUGUGGGUAUCAAACAGGAUUAGAUACCCUGGUAGUCCACACAGUAAACGAUGAAUACUCGCUGUUGGCGAUACACAGUCAGCGGCCAAGCGAAAGCAU